GACAGAGGGGGCAAGCGUUGCUCGGAAUCACUGGGCGUAAAGGGCGCGUAGGCGGGAUGGCAAGUCAGUCGUGAAAUCUCUCGGCUCAACCGAGAAACGUCGGCUGAUACUGCCGUUCUUGAGGGAUGCAGAGGAGACUGGAAUUCCCGGUGUAGCGGUGAAAUGUGUAGAGAUCGGGGGGAACACCGGUGGCGAAGGCGGGUCUCUGGGCAUUUCCUGACGCUGAGGCGCGAAAGCGUGGGGAGCAAACGGG
rnacentral:rRNA from 1 species